GCCGCUUUAUCCCACGACCUCGCCGGCGACGGUCCCAUCGUCUCACCCGUUGCCCCUUCUCCUCUGCUUCAGGCGGCGGCGUGGCCCUUCUCGACCUUGUUCUCGCCCCUCAUCCACCAUACCGUCAACGGAUGGUGUUGUCCCCUUCACCGUCGAGCUGCUUCUUCUUUCACCUUCCCGAAUCGAGGGUUUCUGCAACGGCCGUCGAGCUUCCUCGUCAUUCACCUCCCCGAAUCAAGGGUUUCUGACCUUCUGUGGAUGUCGUCUGAUCCGUCAGACAUGGAUAGAAGCAAACAUGCCUAUGUUCCUGCUGCAACAGACGGACUGUACAUCUCAUGGAUGAGAUUGAGUUUUCGGAAAUAGUCGAUGGAUGGCUAUGUACCUUGGUUGCUGAACCAGUGGAAUUGGCUGAGGUAUUUCUUGCUGCUGUCCGAAGUGCAGAACGGUAGAAAAUAUGAACGCUGGCGCCAAGUGCUAGUUAUGCAUGGUCUUCUUGUUGUUUUUGAUCUCUCAUUAUGGCCUGUGCUGUAAAGUGCCUCCAAUCUGGUUGUUGAUGCCAGUACCAGCCUUUCUCUGAGAUGCCUGACAUGCAAAGUUGACGCAGCUGCAUGGUUUUAGGAAUCCAAUGCCGACAUCGAGGAGCUAGAAUUCCAAGUUCCUGGGCCAUUGUACGGGUGAUCCGACCCUGCUACUCAACUACUUUCAAGAAACCAUGGGUCUGUAGAAAUAUCGUGAUUCUAAAGCUUCAAAAACAGUGGCUUCUGCUGAUUAGAACAGAUCUCUUCAUGCUGCAAGUCGUCCGCAGAACCCAGGACGGGGAGGUUCAUGAUUAGUCUCAGAAACAAGACCUAUCCCAUCAAUCUUUCUUCGGCAGUACUACAAAACAUGAUAUGGAGCAGAAGUGUGCAGCUGGCGGAGAACAAAGCUCACAUGGAUGAUCUACGUCCUCUGAACUACAGCAGAGAGGCUCAGUUCUGCUGAUGCUUUCGCCGGAUCUCAUUAAUAGCGAUUGCAAUUCGUGGUAUUCCAUUUAGUGGUCAGAUCAAGAUUGCAGUGAGGAUCUGUUACUUGUGAGCUUCUUUUGGAGAUAGGAUCCGGAGAAACUUCACUUGGAUUCAAGCAGCUCCAUAGCAUAUCAUGAACAACAGCUAACAGAAUUUAUUUGUUGAUGAGAUGUUAGAACUUUUGUUCGGGCCAAGCUGUGGCUAAAAACUAGAUUAAAGUGCAGUGGUAGAAGACUUAGCAAGAAACGUGAGAGCAUUUAGAAGAUUGGUGCUGUGAUCGGCCGUAGUGGCAUGGCAGUGCAGCUUUUGCCCGGCGAUCAUCCAAGACUUUGAUCGGCCAUUCUCUCGCCAAAUCCUUCGUCCCCCAACACCAAGUUUUCCUUUUCUUCUUCUCAAGGAGAGAAAAAUAUAAAAAGGGUUUUAGAAGUCGAUUGCUCAUUCGGGUUUCUUCAACUUUGGAACUCUGGCACUGUUCGUAGCAUAGUUUACCUUCUCUCUAUAUACAUCAUGGCUAAAAAGGUAUCUACUCUCA